UACAGAGGUCUCAAGCGUUAUUCGGAUUCAUUGGGCGUAAAGGGUGCGUAGGUGGCGAUGUAAGUCUGGUGUGAAAGCCCUGGGCUUAACCUAGGAAUUGCGCUUGAGACUGGGUAGCUUUGAGUGUGGCAGAGGGAGGUGGAAUUCCACGUGUAGCAGUGAAAUGCGUAGAGAUGUGGAGGAACACCGAUGGCGAAGGCAGCCUCCUGGGCCAGCACUGACGCUCAUGCACGAAAGCGUGGGGAGCAAACAGG
rnacentral:rRNA from 1 species